GACGAACGCUGGCGGCGUGCUUAACACAUGCAAGUCGAACGGAAAGGCCCUGCUUUUGUGGGGUGCUCGAGUGGCGAACGGGUGAGUAACACGUGAGUAACCUGCCCUUGACUUUGGUAUAACUUCAGGAAACUGGGGCUAAUACCGGAUAGGAGCUCCUGCUGCAUGGUGGGGGUUGGAAAGUUUCGGCGGUUGGGGAUGGACUCGCGGCUUAUCAGCUUGUUGGUGGGGUAGUGGCUUACCAAGGCUUUGACGGGUAGCCGGCCUGAGAGGGUGACCGGCCACAUUGGGACGGAGAUACGGCCCAGACUCCUACGGGAGGCAGCAGUGGGGAAUAUUGCACAAUGGGCGGAAGCCUGAUGCAGCAACGCCGCGUGCGGGAUGACGGCCUUCGGGUUGUAAACCGCUUUCGCCUGUGACGAAGCGUGAGUGACGGUAAUGGGUAAAGAAGCACCGGCUAACUACGUG
rnacentral:rRNA from 1 species